GUCUGCAGACGGCCGUGGCUCCUCUGUUCUUCCCGAGGCUACAGCAACAGCAGAGGUGUUCCUGGGGAGAUGGCGGAACAGCACGGAGCACCCGAACAGGCUGCAGCUGGCAAGAGCCAUGGAGACCUUGGGGGCAGCUACAAGUGAUCUUGUACGAACUAGAGAACUUCCAAGGCAAACGCUGCGAGCUCUCGGCCGAGUGCCCCAGCCUGACCGACAGCCUGCUGGAGAAGGUGGGCUCCAUCCAAGUGGAGUCCGGGCCUGGCUGGCAUUUGAGUCCAGGGCCUUCCGCGGGGAGCAGUUUGUUCUGGAGAAGGGGGAUUAUCCUCGCUGGGAUGCCUGGUCCAACAGCCGUGAUAGUGACAGCCUUCUGUC
rnacentral:lncRNA from 1 species